GCGGAUAUGGCGGAAUUGGCAGACGCGCUAGAUUUAGGUUCUAGUGGGUAACCCCCGUGCAGGUUCAAGUCCUGUUAUCCGCA
rnacentral:tRNA from 1 species